GGGGCUGUUUUGGUUUCGACAUUUAAAAUGCAUUAAUAGAUGAAUCAGGUCGAAGUUUAGAGUCUUCGAAAAAAAACCUAUAUUUAUAAUAACUGCUAAGAAUAUAAUUUUAUCAUUUGUUACUUUUGCAAAUUCAAUUUUCAAAAUUAAUCAGUUAAAUUCAUUAAAAUUUGCUGUUUAAAAAUUAUUUUUUUUAAUAUUAUUUCACUAUUACUAGACAUUUUUCUAGUAUAUAGUUUAGAAUAACAUAAAAUAAUCUUCUGUUCAUUAGAACUAUACCUGUGAAUAAGUUUAUUAAAAUAAUUUUAAAUGGACGUGGGUUCAAUUCCCAUCAGCUCCA
rnacentral:tmRNA from 1 species